CGUCACAGGGAACAAACCAGGACCGUAAGUGAAUGUUCGAGAGGACAAAUCAAGAAAUGUUUUAACUAUGAAAGCUCAUCAGUAUGGGACAGGAUGCCCGGUCAGGAGUGAGCUCCCUGGCACCUGAGGGAGGACCCCACCCCUCUGGUAUAUGGAUCCUCGACCUUGGAGGAAGUCUGAACGGAGCGGCCUCCCCAGCCUGGAGUCACUCUGCCUCUAGAACUACAACAGGUACUAUCUAAGGCAGGGGCACCUUACAUAGUGCUCUUAUUACUAUUUAUUAUCAAGAAGUCAUCAUCCAGGAAGUCCUCCAAGGAGGCUUUUAUGUAGAAUGUCAUUGUACAGAAUGCUUUGACAGCUUUUUAUUCAAGGCUGCCCACAAGGCAGCCCUGCAGAACCAGCCAGUCAGAAGACAGCCCUUCCAGGCCCUGUACACAUCUGCUUCCCCAACCCCACCCCUGAGCCCUGAGCCCUUCAGUUGGUUCUGUUGAACUACUGUGUGGAGGGAAAUAUUGAUCCCUUGAUCAAUGGAAAUAAUCUCUAAUGAACAGGCAUUUGGGGAUCAAAUAACAGAAAUAAUGCAUGGUGAACACAUGCGUGUUUGUUUACAGCACAGGUGUGGUUGACAUUUGCCUUCUCUGCAUUGCCAACUUCCUUCCUGCCUUCUCUAUUGGGAAAUUAUCCUUAUUAGCAUAGAAAGAAAAAAGUGUGUGUGUGACGCCCAGAAGAUGACUAGAAACAGCAGCGGCCAGGCUGCUGGUUAGGGUGUGCCCCAGGAGCCCAGCCUCUCCGGAGAGCACCCUAAAGGUGUGCAGGCAGGCCAGAGGCUCCAACCUGCAGGCCUCGUAACCUGAGUGGUCCUCCCUGCAAAGUGCCCAGUUUGACAGCUGCUAUUCCACUUACAGAAAAACUGAAAUUCAACAUCGAGCUCACGAUCCGCCUGGAAAGCUAAGAGUGACGCCAACGGCCUCAGCUGCACUGAGAGUGAGGUGAAUCGCUCCAGCUCUGCGUGUAGUGUUCUCUCAUUGGUGGCUUCAAAUUGGCUGUGAUGGGAGUAUUUGCACCACGGAAACCGACAACUCCUCAGAUCAGACCUUUUUAUUCCCAGAGGGCCAGUUGUGAAACGUUUACCAGCACCACUGGAGGAGUGAGAUCAGAGCACUUUCUUCCAAGCAGUGGCACAUUAGCAAAUGGAAGGGACAAAAAGACAGCAGCAAUGUACAGGUUUGCGGGCUUCGUGGCAGGGAAGUGAGCGCGUUGCCUCUGAUGACUUCCAUUUCUCUCUGUUGGGCUGGGGUGAGGUCAACUGCCCUGUGUGUGGGAGCCAGAGAAGAAAGCAGCACAGAACAGACGCAAACCAAGAAGGCUGGAAGAUAAGAGCAGAGCCAUCCGGACCCGAGCCCCUCGGGGGUAUGAAACAGGAGUCGUGGGAGCAAAUUAGUACGCGCACUGCAUGGAGGGGCAGAAGGGGCAGGGAGGAGCAUCCGAAUGUAAGAUGUCAGAGAAGCUCAUUUUGUCAGCCUCAGAGCUUCCCGUGUGCAGCACGGAUCUAAAGCUGGUGAAUGCAGGGAGGUGAACAAGAACCAUCUUCGCUUCCUGCAUGCCGAUGGCGGAAAUGAGACAUCGGCAAAGAAACAUCAGGAUCCCCCAAUUAUGGCGAACGCCAUGGAGGAAACAAAGGACACUGUGACACCAAGGAAGGAAGAGAGGUUACUUUUCAUAAUGGGGUGGCUGUAAACAGAAUUGAAGGCUGAAAAGAGCGAUGAAAUGGCUUGUUUGAAGGCAUCAUUUGAAAAGAGAAGAGAUGGGAAGCAGAGGGAGUUAGGAACACAGGUGAAGCGCAUCUGCCCGCUUCUGGUGAGACCAGCCGGCCAACUGUCAGGUCAACAUGGCUCAAUAACAUCUGCUGGAAGAACAAAAGGAAGAGCUGCUGGCACCAAGUCACACGUGGACACAAACCACAGGGCAGGCUGUAGACGCCAGCCCCUUCCCCUUCCUGCCCUGUACCUGUUCUUCAUGUAAAGCUAUUACUCUAAUCACUGAUUCAUCGUGUUGCAAAUGAUCAUUUCCCUAUCGUUUGUUUAUUACUAUUUUUACUUUCAUUAUCACAUGAGAUUUUCACACAUGGGAGCCUCUGGGGGACAUCUUUGUUUAUUAGUUUAUAAUGUAAAAAUGAAUAUUUUAUAUAGGAACAUUUUAAACAGAGGCAGAAAAACCCUUAACCCAAUUUUAUCUUAUGCUAAAAUUUCAUUAUCACCAAUUCUCAGGCCUCCAAGCACUGUGCAAACAAUCCUUGAGGAAUGGGUGUUAUCAAUUACUAAUAACUAUUAAAUUAGCAUGGAGUUUGAUUUUCCCCUAAGUAUGUUUCAUAACUGCAGAGCAGAGAAAGAGACUCUGCUCCUUCCUGGGCCUCCGGUCCAAACAAACCUGAACCCAGCCCAGGCACCCACGUGUCUUAGAGUGGCCAGCAGUGAGCCCACAGCUGUGCCUCUGCCCUGCAGGGCACCCUGGCCAGGACAUCCUCCAGGGUGGAAGUAUGAACCCUUUUCCCAGGGAAUUUCUGGCAGACGGAUGUGAUCUUGAUAUUCUCUGCAAGUGGCAGAAGGAGUUUUUCCCCCUCACCAUCUGUUAUAGGCUGAAUUCUGUCCCCCUACGAUUCAAAUGUUGAAAUCCUGACUUCCAGAAACCCAGAAUGUGACUGCAUUUGGAAACAGGGCCUUUAAAGGUGAUUAAGUUAAAAUGGACUGGUCCUCACUUCAAUAUGACUGCUGUCUUUAUAGGAAGAAAUCUGGACGCAGACACACACAGAGGGAUGACCACAUGAAGACACAGGGAGAGGAUGGCAGUUACAAGCCAGGAAGAGAGGCCUCAGAGGAAACCAGCCCUGCUGACUCUUUGAACUCGGGGUUCCAGCCUCCAGAAUUGUGAGAAAAUGAAUUUCUGUUUUAAGUCAUGAGGUCUGUGGUAUUUGCUGUGACAGCCAAUGCAAACUCACACGCCAUCUGUACCCUUCUCUCCCACUGUGUCUGAUGCCCCAGGAACCACUGUCUUCGUUUAUCCCAGGAUGUCUGCAAGGAAUAAAAUGUCCCUUUUCUAGCAUUUAGAGGCCACCAACAUUGAAUAACCACACUGGGGUACAAGCAGCAGGGAAAAGAUUCCUACUGUUCUCAUCACAGUGGCCUUGGAGAUGAAGAGACAGAUGGAUCUGACCGCAGCGAGUCCUGACCCAACCUCCCAUACAUUCUACACAUCAGCCAUCAAGACUGAGCCAGGCUUGUGAGGGCAGAGUGGGAGGGAGACGAAGCCCAAGGUUCUCAUCAGGACCUUCAAGAUUUUCCUUUCUUCUCUACUAUCAAAACUGUGUGAGGGGGAAAAAACCCAGAGUGAGACUGGAAAUUCAGUCACCCACAUCUUUGCAGUGGCUAACAGCUGUUAAGGGACAUUUUAUUUGUUUUUGUUUUUUUGUUUGUUUUUUGUUUUUUUUUUUUGAGACA